rnacentral:rRNA from 1 species
UACGUAGGGUGCGAGCGUUGUCCGGAAUUACUGGGCGUAAAGAGCUCGUAGGUGGUUUGUCGCGUUGUUCGUGAAAACUCACAACUCAAUUGUGGGCGUGCGGGCGAUACGGGCAGACUGGAGUACUGCAGGGGAGACUGGAAUUCCUGGUGGUAGCGGUGGGAAUGCGCAGAUAUCAGGAGGAACACCGGUGGCGAAGGGCG